GCCUCGGCGGCGAGCAGCACGGCGGGAACAUGGCGCCCGGAACUGGCGCGCGCGCCUAGCUGGCGGGACCGUUAGCUCGAGGCGGACGCAGCCCGGACCCGGUGGAUGUGGAGCAGUCGCCGCUGCCGGCGCCCAAGCCGACCCAAGGGCCGACCCCCGCAAGGAGCUGAAGGAGGUGGGAGCCCCAGUCGCUGCGGGCGUCGGCGCCGUCAAAGAAGAUGGCCACAGAGACAGCAGUGUGGUCAGAGUGGUAGGAGCUGGCCAUCGGCGAGAGCUGCUCCAUGUCUGGCUGCUGGGUGCUAGAGGCUGUGGCCCACUGGCUUGCCUCACUGUGGUUGGUGGUGGCGGUGACAGAGACUGCAGCACGACCACAGUGGCUUUUCUGGCUUUGCCCACCCAGCUGCUCCAUGCCAGGAGGAGGAGGAGACACCUAGAGCCUGCGACACCACGACUUGCCUCACUGCGGUUCUAGAGUGUAUGAAGAACCAAAUGAUGUAACUGUAUGCGACCUGGCUGUAGUGGAACAAAUUUGACUCUUAAGUAUGCAGGCUCUAAUUUUCCUGUCUGGUUUUGUCUAGGGAGAUGACUCAUCAGAAAAAGAAGAAAAAAGAGGCAUUUGGAAAUUGUGCAAAUUAAAGCAGCCCCUGAUGCCAAAGUCUACACAUUCCUGAGUGAGUCAGUUCUGGCCAGUUCUAGCUGGAUCAAGAGAGCUCUGCUGGGCAAGCCUGAAGAGCACCUGGAUGGCAGACACCUGAGGAGCCAGGUGCCUGAAACUUCCUCCACCUGCUUGAGGAGCGCUGAAGCCCAGGUGCUGGCUGGACAACCCCUUCUGGUUGCCUAAGCAGGUGGCAGGAGAAGGAAACAAGGUCAGAGGCAGAGUGUUGAACCCUGCCUCCCAGGUGGGUGGAAGAUGCCUGUCGCCAAACUAGGGCCCAGCUUGCCGGGUGAGAUGGGUGAACUGGUGAUCCCCCGAGAGAGUGGACGUCAGAACUACAUGGUCCUGGACCUCACCUCGGCCAGCGAAGGAGAGAGAGGGUUAAUGUUAACUGCACGAGGCCCACUCUAGCCUUAAAUUCUGAAAUUCAAACCCUUCCCUUGGAGACAAAACAAACAUGACAAGGAAUUCUGACAUCAGGGGACAAGAAUCACAAGUUCCCUGGUGGGAGACUGAGGAGGCAGUGUCCUUCCUGCCCUUGGUCUACUGGCUAAGAACCUUCCUCAGCCUGACCUUUCCACAUUGCACUUCCAGCUCUGUUUGCAAUUUUCCUCCUUUAGUGCUGAGGGAAUCCCAGUGUUCGAUCCUGAAAUCUAUAGGUUCCUAAUGGGUGGUUAAAAAAAAACCGCAGCGAGAGAAGCAGAAAAUGUUUCCUCUUCCUGAAAAACUGUAGAAAGGCAGGCACCAUUCUGGGUGAGGACAUGGUCCUUGCAAAUGUCUUUGUGUUUUUUUUUUAUUAUUUUUAUUUUGAGAUGAAGUUUUGCUCUUGUUGCCCAGACUGGAGUACAGUGGUGUGAUCUCUGCUCAUUGCAACCUCCGCCUCCUGGGUUCAAGCAAUUCUCCUACCUCAGCCUCCUGAGUAGCUGGAAUUACAGGCACCUGACACCACACCUGGCUAAUUUUUUGUAUUUUUAGUAGCGAUGGGGUUUUGCCAUGUUGGCCAUGUUGGUCUCUAACUCCUGGCCUCAAGUGAGCCACCCGCUUCUUCCUCCCAAAGUGCUGGGAUUACAGGAGUGAGCCACCGCAUCCCACUGUGAGUGAGUGAGCCACUGCAAAAGUCUUUAAAGACAGCAUGUUUCAGAGGCUGUGACGGUGCCCUGUGAACGUGCCAAAUCUCGCAGUCCCGGGAGCUCUGAGGAGCAGGCCCAGCUCCUUGCCAGGCUGAUGGUACUGAAACUCUGCUCUCCAAGACAUAACCUGUUGGCCAUGCAAGAUUUCUUAAUUGACUGUGGACCGUGAGAGUCUGCAUCUCAUUUUAAUUAAGACAGGAAAAGAAAGAACAAAAGAGCAACUCCCAGGUUAUAGAGAGACUGGAUUUUAGUAUAAUAUUCAAGUGUAGCGUUGCUAAUAAUAACAAACCUUUCCCCUCCCAAAUGGUAAACACUUGCACUGCCUAUUAUACAAAAAUUCAACCAUCCUCUCUGUUCCCCCGAUAUCUCCUCCCCAGUGACCCCCCUCUCAUGCGGCCUCAUGAGCCUGGCCAGUGGUGAAUGGCACUUUCAUGGGCAUGAGACUCCACGUGAGUGGGACUCAGCUGGGACCCCUCUCCACGUGGGAGCUGGAGAAGCCACCCUAGUACCAGCUUAAAGUGUCCGUGAUGUCCCUGCUGCUGAGCCCCCACAUCACCCAACCAACCAGCAGAGAUCCUCAUUCCCAUGAAACAGAUAAAGAAACUGAGGCCCAGGGAGGCUAAGUCCUGCCAGGAUCAUUCACCUUCCAAGAAGCCAAGCAAGCACUGGCUGUGACAGAAGCAAGAUUAAAACAGUUACAACUCACCCAGUUCACAGACACUGAGUAACUGAUCUCCUGCCCCACCAACCUUAAUGACAGCUUUCACUGGACAAGGGACUGAUUUCAGUAACUUUCUCCUUAUAAGAGACCAUCCUCCAUGGACUGGUUCUGGCCAGUUUUAGAGGCUGUGCCUUUACAGAGGCUGAGUACCUUCAUGUCCCUGCUUCACUUUCUGAUGUGUAGGGCCUAAUUAUAAGACAUUUAAAUGUCAAGUCUCCACCCCAGAAUGAACAUGCAUGUUUAUUGAAUAUGCAUCUGUUACGUCCUCUCUUAUGAGUAUUCUCAUAAAAUGAUAUAGCUCCUCUGAUAUCCUAUUGAGUAUGUAUAUGUAGCCAACUCAUUCGGCACAAAUUCCUGUCCUCUCCUUCCCUCCCUGGAAAUGCCUGCCUCUGGCCUUGGCUGUAGGCCACACUUCCCAGCCUGUCAUAAGGGCCACCUUGCAGGCUGCAAACCUUUAUAAGAAAUAAAGCUCUCUUUUCUAAGUUU